rnacentral:rRNA from 1 species
CCGUUGUGGCGAAGUGGGUGAUCCUAUGCUGCCGAGAAAAGCCUCUAGUGAGUGUCGUGGCGGCCCGUACCCCAAACCGACUCAGGUGGUCAGGUAGAGAAUACCAAGGCGAUCGGGUGAACUGUGGUUAAGGAACUCGGCAAAUUGCCCCCGUAACUUCGGGAGAAGGGGGGCCUCCGCUGGUGAUCAGACUUGCUUUGUGAGCUGGUGGGGGUCGCAGAGGCCAGGGGGAAGCGACUGUUUACUAAAAACACAGGUCCGUGCGAAGUCGUAAGACGAUGUAUACGGACUGACGCCUCCCCGGUGCUGGAACGUUAAGGGGACCGGUUAGCGCACUUCGGUGUGCGAGGCUGAGAACUUAAGCGCCAGUAAACGGCGGUGGUAACUAUAACCAUCCUAAGGUAGCGAAAUUCCUUGUCGGGUAAGUUCCGACCUGCACGAAUGGCGUAACGACUUCCCCGCUGUCUCAACCGCAGACCCGGCGAAAUUGCACUACGAGUAAAGAUGCUCGUUACGCGCAGCAGGACGGAAAGACCCCGGGACCUUCACUACAGCUUGACAUUGGCGUUUGGAACGUCUUGUGUAGGAUAGGUGGGAGACUGUGAAGCUGUCACGCUAGUGGCGGUGGAGUCAUUGGUGAAAUACCACUCUGGUCGUUUUGAACGUCUAACUUCGGUCCGUGAUCCGGAUCAGGGACAGUGUCUGGUGGGUAGUUUAACUGGGGCGGUUGCCUCCUAAAGAGUAACGGAGGCGCCCAAAGGUUCCCUCAGCCUGGUUGGUAAUCAGGUGUCGAGUGUAAGUGCACAAGGGAGCUUGACUGUGAGACCGACGGGUCGAGCAGGAGCGAAAGCUGGGACUAGUGAUCCGGCGGUGGCAUGUGGAAGCGCCGUCGCUCAACGGCUAAAAGGUACCCCGGGGAUAACAGGCUGAUCUUCCCCAAGAGUCCAUAUCGACGGGAUGGUUUGGCACCUCGAUGUCGGCUCGUCGCAUCCUGGGGCUGGAGUAGGUCCCAAGGGUUGGGCUGUUCGCCCAUUAAAGCGGUACGCGAGCUGGGUUUAGAACGUCGCGAGACAGUUCGGUCCCUAUCCGCUGCGCGCGCAGGAGACUUGAAAGGAGCUGUCCCUAGUACGAGAGGACCGGGACGGACGAACCUCUGGUGUGCCAGUUGUUCCGCCAGGAGCAUGGCUGGUUGGCUACGUUCGGAAGGGAUAACCGCUGAAAGCAUCUAAGCGGGAAGCUCGCCUUGAGAUGAGGUCUCCCACCACGUGAGUGGGUAAGGCCCCCGGGAGACGACCGGGUUGAUAGGCCGGAGGUGGAAGCAUGGUAACGUGUGGAGCUGACCGGUACUAAUAGGCCGAGGACUUGACC